UAAACCCACAAUUUCGAUAUGAGGAUAAUUUCUCAGAUACUGAUGAAGUGCAAAAUGGGUUGUUUGCUUGCAUGGAUAGGAUGCUUGGGAAAGGGAAAGAACGUGAAGAGGCCGAUGUUCAAUUAGAUUUAUUUACUAAUAAGCGUGGUCCAUUUGCGGAUUCUAUGGCUAUGCAAACUAGGAAAAAGCGAACACCAACGGCUUGGUGGGAGUGCUUUGGGCAUAAAACACCCGAGUUAACGAAAUUUGCUAUCUGAGUUCUAAGCCUUACUUGUAGUGCAUCGGGAUGUGAGAGGAAUUGGAGCACAUUUUCAAUGAUUCAUACAAAAAGAAGGAAUAGGCUUGAACACAAAAGGCUUAAUGCUUUAGCCUAUGUCAAGUACAAUUUGGCUUUACAACAAAGAAGUAAGAAAAGGAUGGAGAAGUAUGAUCCUAUUGUUGUGGAAGAAAUUCCCUCCGAUGAUGAAUGGAUAACAGAGAUAGAAGAUCUCGUUCUUCCUGAAGAUCCUACAUGGCUUGAGGAUGAGUUAUUGUAUAAUGUUGAGGCCGUAAGGAAUGUGCCAACCCCGGUUUAUGAAGGUGGCUCAUACAUUUGAAAGCCUAGAGAGUCUUCUCCUCCUCCUCCUCCUCGUGAGCCUACUUCUCCUCCUCGUGAGCCUACUCCUCCUCCUUCUCCUCGCGAGCC